rnacentral:rRNA from 1 species
CACGUAGGGUGCGAGCGUUGUCCGGAAUUAUUGGGCGUAAAGAGCUCGUAGGCGGUGUGUCGCGUCGGCCGUGAAAACCUGCAGCUUAACUGUGGGCUUGCGGUCGAUACGGGCAUCACUGGAGUUCGGCAGGGGAGACUGGAAUUCCUGGUGUAGCGGUGAAAUGCGCAGAUAUCAGGAGGAACACCGGUGGCGAAGGCGGCAUCCUGGACCGGCAUUGACGCUGAGGCGCGAAAGCCAGGGGAGCAAACGGG